rnacentral:Y_RNA from 1 species
GGCUGGUCUGAGUGCAGUGGUGUUUACAACUAAUUGAUCACAACCAGUUACAGAUUCCUUUGUUCCUCCUCCACUCCCGCUGCUUCACUUGACUAGCCUAAA